rnacentral:lncRNA from 1 species
AUGGUUUUCCUGCCUUUUGGAGAGGACCUGUCCAACAGAUGGAGCAGAGGCACAGCUCUAGGACAUUGUUUGAGACCUUCUAUCCAGCCUUACCUGAGGUCAAAUGCAUUUAGGAAAAAACUCCAUGCUGUCACUGCUGUGUAUUGGCAUCCUCCCUGUGUCUCCUGUUGCGAGCCUCUGCCCUGGCUGAUGCAGUUUAUUUGGUUCAUUUGGCUGGCCCUGUCUGACAAGAAGCCCUCUGGCUCACCUCUGCAAGAUCAAGGUCUUCCCUGGACGCCCACCCCACCCCCAAAUGGGGAGAGUUUUUACAAGUCUCCAAAACAAUCAUUCACUCCAUUAAUUUUAUGUGUAAAAAGAAUGGGGGGAUAACACUCUAGGAAUGCAUUUUGCGACACAUUUGAGACCCUUGCAGUGUCAGAGAUGGGAAUAAAUGGACAGCAGACACAUAUUAUAAAUUAUUUGUUUCACCCGUUUCUUUUGAAUAAUGAAUAUGUCUGUGUGAAACCCCAAACUCAGAACUCUAGAGUCCUAUGAGUACUGUCUACAACACUGACCCCAGUAGCAUAUCAUUAAGAGAAUUAAAAAUAAAUGAAGAAAAGCCAGUCAAUUCAGAUGCUAUAAGGGUCUCCAGACUGAGUCUCUCUCUUGGAGCUGUUUAAAGGCUCUUCGAACAUACCUUUAUGUCAAACAGCAGCUUCCAGCCCUGAAUUCUUGGACAGACAGAUGUGUGACCACACCUGCUGGCCAUGUGAAGUGUGACUAUUGUAGGUGACCAAAGCUGGACUCAUGUUGAGGUCUGAGAGCCUUAUCUGAGCUAUGAGUGUUUUACUAGCUGCUUUGUUUUGGGUCACCUGACUGCUUAGCAGCUCCAACUCUGUGCUAAAUAGCCAUUCUUAGAACUGUCAUGUCUCAUCAGUAGCUCUUCCUGCAUGAUGCCAUCUCCUGCUU